GCCAAAUUAAGGUGAAACCGCGAAAGGCUCAUUAAAUCAGUUAUGGUUCCUUAGAUCGUACCCACAUUUACUUGGAUAACUGUGGUAAUUCUAGAGCUAAUACAUGCAAAUAGAGCUCCGACCGGAGACGGAAGGAGUGCUUUUAUUAGAUCAAAACCAAUCGGCGACGGGUCAAACCGUUGUCGUAAUAUUUGGUGACUCUGAAUAACUUUUUGCUGAUCGCACGGUCUAGCACCGGCGACGCAUCUUUCAAAUGUCUGCCUUAUCAACUGUCGAUGGUAGGUUCUGCGCCUACCAUGGUUGUAACGGGUAACGGGGAAUCAGGGUUCGAUUCCGGAGAGGGAGCCUGAGAAACGGCUACCACAUCCAAGGAAGGCAGCAGGCGCGCAAAUUACCCACUCCCGGCACGGGGAGGUAGUGACGAAAAAUAACGAUACGGGACUCAUCCGAGGCCCCGUAAUCGGAAUGAGUACACUUUAAAACCUUUAACAAGGAUCAAUUGGAGGGCAAGUCUGGUGCCAGCAGCCGCGGUAAUUCCAGCUCCAAUAGCGUAUAUUAAAGUUGUUGCGGUUAAAAAGCUCGUAGUCGAAUCUGUGUCCCGCGCCGUCGGUUCACCGCUCGCGGUGUUUAACUGGCGUGUCCGUGGGACGUCCUGCCGGUGGGCUUAGUCUUUCGGGGCUGCCCAACUUAAAAUCCCAUCGCGGUGCUCUUCAUUGAGUGUCGAGGUGGGCCGGCACGUUUACUUUGAACAAAUUAGAGUGCUUAAAGCAGGCUAAAAUUUCGCCUGAAUACUGUGUGCAUGGAAUAAUGGAAUAGGACCUCGGUUCUAUUUUGUUGGUUUUCGGAACCCCGAGGUAAUGAUUAAUAGGAACGGAUGGGGGCAUUCGUAUUGCGACGUUAGAGGUGAAAUUCUUGGAUCGUCGCAAGACGGACAGAAGCGAAAGCAUUUGCCAAAAACGCUUUCAUUGAUCAAGAACGAAAGUUAGAGGUUCGAAGGCGAUCAGAUACCGCCCUAGUUCUAACCAUAAACGAUGCCAGCUAGCGAUCCGCCGACGUUCCUCCGAUGACUCGGCGGGCAGCUUCCGGGAAACCAAAGCUUUUGGGUUCCGGGGGAAGUAUGGUUGCAAAGCUGAAACUUAAAGGAAUUGACGGAAGGGCACCACCAGGAGUGGAGCCUGCGGCUUAAUUUGACUCAACACGGGAAACCUCACCAGGCCCGGACACCUGAAGGAUUGACAGAUUGAGAGCUCUUUCUUGAUUAGGUGGGUGGUGGUGCAUGGCCGUUCUUAGUUGGUGGAGCGAUUUGUCUGGUUAAUUCCGAUAACGAACGAGACUCUAACCUAUUAACUAUAAAAUUAA
rnacentral:rRNA from 1 species